rnacentral:misc_RNA from 1 species
GACGAACCGUCCUAACGUUGUCCGGAUUUACUGGGCGUAAAGAGCGCGCAGGCGGCUGGUCAAGUCCGAUGUGAAAUCUCCCGGCUCAACUGGGAAACUGCAUCGGAAACUGAUCGGCUUGAAGGUGGGAGAGGGUAGUGGAAUUCCCGGUGUAGUGGUGAAAUGCGUAGAUAUCGGGAGGAACACCAGUGGCGAAGGCGACUACCUGGCCCAUUCUUGACGCUGAGGCGCGAAAGCUAGGGGAGCGAACGGG